rnacentral:lncRNA from 1 species
GGCCUUCUAACUUGGAACAUCAGGACAUGUUAAAUCUCAAUUUGUCACUUGCAUGUUGCAUUAAGUUACAUGUCAGAGUUCUCUUGUGUAUUGUAGUGAGCUGGAUACAACUCAUGUUUGAUUAGUUGAGCUCUCCUCCUCGGCGAUUGGCUGAAGGAGGACCAGGACGUCGAGCUAAGACGGGCCGCAUCUGACUCGCCCUGUUGCAGUGGGGUGCCUUGCCUCCUUUGACACUCAACAUGAGACAAGGUUAUCUGGUGUUGGUUCUUAGGUUCGGAGGUUUAUAAAUGAUCGGGGUGGUGUCUUUGGAUGAUUGUGCCUCGGUGCUAUUUCCUGCUGGGUGUAUGAAUGAAACGUGAUUGAUCUUUGCCCAUUAACCUGUUUGAUAAUUUAAUUCAAGUUAGCACAAGCAUAAGUUGUUAAUAGUAUGUUUUAUGUUUUUUUUACAAGAAGCAUUGUAUGCUGCAACUAUUUUGGAUGGAAUAGUUACUAUAAGAGUGGGCUAUAUGUCACCAACCUUCUAAUUGUAUAUUGUAUUAUCUGAAGUUUGGUGUUGUUUCAUAAGCAUUUCUUUCAAUGUCAGAUUACUAUGAUUCUGACGCAACAAGGUUUUGAUUCAUGCUUAUGAUCACAUUAUGAAGUUGUACUCUGCUUCAACUCAUGUUUCUACCCUAAUUUGUCUAACUGGUUCUUUUUAUUUUUGUGGACGAGGCAUGUCAAGGCGGCGUGGCGGCACUAUGGACGACAUCAGCAUGACCAGAUCAGUGGUGAAAAUCCCAGGUGAAAAUACUCUCUUUAUUAGGUCUCAUUUUGUUGAAUGAAUAGUUACUUUAUAUGAUGUUGGUUAGGGUUUGUAUGGAGAUAGCAGCUGUUAUGUUUGACCAUCACUUAUAUAUAUAUAUGCAUUGCCUGCUAUUUGCAAAGUUUGUUGGCUUUGGUCUGCAACUACAACUUGCACAAUAAGUGCAAUCGGAUAAAUGACACAACUUGCACAAUAGUUACUUGAUAUGAGCUUAUGGAGAAGCUUGAGGAAACACGAAGGUCAAUAGGAUGCAUUUUACUAGAGCUUGAUCAUGCAGAUUUUCUUGGAUUUUGCCUACUGAUAAAGCUAAGGUUUCUAUGGUUGAAAGGGAUUAUACUAAUUUACAGGACCCAAAGUGAUAGAAGAUUCUGCGGCUGUGGAAACCACCAGGUACAUGUAGAACGCACAAAACGAUACCUUCUAAGAUGAACCAGUACCUGAGUUAGAGAGCACACGUGAAAUUACUAUCAGUUAGGAUUAUCAAGUUUAUUAGAUACACAACAUCAGAAUGAGUGAGCGAGCACAUGUAAAAUUGCUUUGAACAGUGAGCGAGUCCCGUACCAGUUUUAAUGUUGUAUAGAUUAUGUGUACUUAUAUUUAUUGAACUGGAUUACUUAAUAAAUUUUGAAGCCAAAUUUAAGAUGAUUCGAUGAAGAAAAAAUAGAACUUAAACAGUGUCAUGUCAUGUGUUAAGCUUAGAUGAUGCCUUUCUUACACAAAGGUCUUACAAUGUAUUCCUAUUAGUCAUUCUAAUAAACAAGGAUACCUUCCUUGCACAGGUAGUUCGUGAGUGAUGAUCAAUCAAUUCGAAGAACCACUUGCUUCGGCACUGUUAUUGCCCAACUAUGUAUUAUACCACUAGCUACCUAGCCGUUUCAGUGAAUUUCUAUUCGACCAUUCACCUUUUGUAGGAAUGUCUUGCUCUGAAUAUUAUGUUGCAUCAAAAUUGUUGGAUGCUCUCUCAGACCUUGACUGCUUUGUAUAAAUAUACAGUAUAUAAAGCAUUCUGCGUUAGCCCUGUUUGUGGUUUGCUAAUUGUGUUGCUU